rnacentral:ncRNA from 1 species
UUCAUGGAGAGUUUGAUCCUGGCUCAGGACGAACGCUGGCGGCGUGCCUAAUACAUGCAAGUCGAGCGAAUCAUGAGGUGCUUGCACCUCUUGGUUAGCGGCGGACGGGUGAGUAACACGUGGGCAACCUGCCUGUAAGACUGGGAUAACAUCGGGAAACCGAUGCUAAUACCGGAUAAUCCUUUUCCUCUCAUGAGGGAAAGCUGAAAGUCGGCUUCUCGCUGACACUUACAGAUGGGCCCGCGGCGCAUUAGCUAGUUGGUGAGGUAACGGCUCACCAAGGCGACGAUGCGUAGCCGACCUGAGAGGGUGAUCGGCCACACUGGGACUGAGACACGGCCCAGACUCCUACGGGAGGCAGCAGU